ACGCUCGACACCUACGGGAGACAGCAGUGGGGAAUAUUGCACAAUGGGGGAAACCCUGAUGCAGCGACGCCGCGUGAGCGAAGAAGUAUUUCGGUAUGUAAAGCUCUAUCAGCAGGGAAGAAGAAAGACGGUACCUGACUAAGAACGCCCCGGCUAACUACGUGCCUGCAGCCGCGGUAAUCUGAGGCGGGCUGGCAAGGC
rnacentral:rRNA from 1 species